rnacentral:rRNA from 1 species
UGGGGAAUUUUGGACAAUGGGGGAAACCCUGAUCCAGCCAUCCCGCGUGUGCGAUGAAGGCCUUCGGGUUGUAAAGCACUUUUGGCAGGAAAGAAACGUCAUGGGUUAAUACCCCGUGAAACUGACGGUACCUGCAGAAUAAGCACCGGCUAACUACGUGCCAGCAGCCGCGGUAAUACGUAGGGUGCAAGCGUUAAUCGGAAUUACUGGGCGUAAAGCGUGCGCAGGCGGUUCGGAAAGAAAGAUGUGAAAUCCCAGAGCUCAACUUUGGAACUGCAUUUUUAACUACCGGGCUAGAGUGUGUCAGAGGGAGGUGGAAUUCCGCGUGUGGCAGUGAAGUGCGUAGAUAUGCGGAGGAACACCGAUGGCGAAGGCAGCCUCCUGGGAUAACACUGACGCUCAUGCACGAAAGCGUGGGGAGCAAACAGG